AUGAAGAAGUUCAUCAAAUCUCAAGUACAAUCUUGCUUGGUGUGUCGGCAAGCUAAACCAGAGAGGGUCCAGUACCCUGGGUUAUUAUCUCCUCUGCCAGUGCCUGCUAAAGCUUGGGAUACAGUGUCCAUGGAUUUUAUAUCUGGUCUUCCUACAUCAUUCCAAUAUGAUUGUAUACUUGUGGUGAUUGACAAGUUCUCUGAGUAUGGCCAUUUCAUACCUCUCUCACAUCCCUUCAAGGCUCAGAAAGUGGCUGAUGUUUUCCUUGAUAAUGUUUACAAAUUACAUGGUAUGCCCAGGUUGAUCAUCUGUGAUAGGGACCCUAUAUUCACUAGCUCAUUCUGGCAGCUGCUUAUAUCAAGAACUGGGGCUGAACUAAAUAUGAGCGCAACAUAUCACCCGGAGACUGAUGGGCAGACUAAACGAGUAAAUCAACAAGUAGAAUGUUUCCUGAGGUGUUUCAUCAAUGCUCAUCUUACUAAGUGGAGCAAGUGGCUGUCACUAUGUAAAUUCUGGUACAAUAACAACUGGUACUCUGCACUGAAUAAACCCCCCUUUGAGAUCAUAUAUGGACAUACUCCUCGUUUCUUUGGAAUAUCUUCUUCAGAUACAAUUGCUCCAGUGGAUAUUCAAUCUUGGUUGUACUCAAGGCAGUUGAUGAUUGAUUCAGUCAGACAGGAUUUGUUGCGUGUGCAACAGAGAAUGAAGCACCAGGCAGAUAAGAAAAGAACUGAAAGAGUUUUCGCUGUUGAUGAUGUCGUGUUCCUUACACUACAGCCCUAUGUGCAAUCGUCAGUCGUCAGAAGGGCUAACCAUAAUCCUUCAAGUUUUUUGGACCUUACAAGAUCAUAG
rnacentral:rRNA from 1 species